rnacentral:rRNA from 1 species
GAUGAACGCUAGCGGCAGGCUUAACACAUGCAAGUCGAGGGGUAGAGGAAGCUUGCUUCCUUGAGACCGGCGCACGGGUGCGUAACGCGUAUGCAAUCUACCUUGUACAGGGGGAUAGCCCAGAGAAAUUUGGAUUAAUACCCCAUAGUAUUAUUGAAUGGCAUCAUUUGAUUAUUAAAGUUCCAACGGUACAAGAUGAGCAUGCGUCCCAUUAGCUAGUUGGUGUGGUAACGGCACACCAAGGCGACGAUGGGUAGGGGUCCUGAGAGGGAGAUCCCCCACACUGGUACUGAGACACGGACCAGACUCCUACGGGAGGCAGCAGUGAGGAAUAUUGGUCAAUGGGCGCAAGCCUGAACCAGCCAUGCCGCGUGCAGGAUGACGGUCCUAUGGAUUGUAAACUGCUUUUGUACAGGAAGAAACACUCCCUCGUGAGGGAGCUUGACGGUACUGUAAGAAUAAGGAUCGGCUAACUCCGUGCCAGCCGCCGCAGUAAUAC